UUGGUAAGAUAAAAGCUUACCAAGGCAACGAUGGGUAGCCGGCCUGAGAGGGUGAACGGCCACACUGGAACUGAGACACGGUCCAGACUCCUACGGGAGGCAGCAGUGGGGAAUAUUGCACAAUGGAGGGAACUCUGAUGCAGCGACGUCGCGUGAACGAUGAAGGCUUUCGGGUCGUAAAGUUCUGUCCUUGGGGAAGAUAAUGACGGUACCCAAGGAGGAAGCCCCGGCUAACUACGUGCCAGCAGCCGCGGUAAUACGUAGGGGGCGAGCGUUGUCCGGAUUUAUUGGGCGUAAAGGGUUCGCAGGCGGCCAUUUAAGUCAGAUGUGAAAGAUCACGGCUCAACUGUGGUAAGCAUUUGAAACUGGAAGGCUUGAGUUAAGGAGAGGAAAGUGGAAUUCCUAGUGUAGCGGUGAAAUGCGUAGAUAUUAGGAGGAAUACCAGUGGCGAAGGCGACUUUCUGGACUUAUACUGACGCUGAGGAACGAAAGCGUGGGGAGCAAACAGGAUUAGAUACCCUGGUAGUCCACGCCGUAAACGAUGAGUGCUAGGUGUCGGGUGUCAAAGCUCGGU
rnacentral:rRNA from 1 species